rnacentral:rRNA from 1 species
UACGGGGGGGGCAAGCGUUGUUCGGAAUUACUGGGCGUAAAGGGUUCGUAGGUGGCCAACUAAGUCAGACGUGAAAUCCCUCAGCUUAACUGGGGAACUGCGUCUGAUACUGGUUGGCUUGAGUGCAGGAGAGGAACGCGGAAUUCCAGGUGUAGCGGUGAAAUGCGUAGAUAUCUGGAGGAACACCGGUGGCGAAGGCGGCGUUCUGGACUACAACUGACACUGAGGAACGAAAGCCAGGGGAGCAAACGGG